UGUCAAAACAAACUCAUUAUCAUAAAAGCAAGUGGAGUCUAUUGAUUUAUUGACUUUCGCUGACAGUGAGUUACAGUUUUCACUUGCGAGUCUUGAAGUUAAAUGAUUAUUGAUAAUGGACUAAUUAGUGUUCGCUUGUUCAGUGUCGUGUCUGAGUGAGUAUGUACUUCUCUGUUUCAUCGUAUAUUCGUCCUUCACCUGUGCAUUUUUUUUUUUUUUUUUUGUUCUUCAGUGUUGCUCUAUUCAAUAUCUUACAGUGUUUGACUUUUAAAAUCAUUAUCGAUCGGCUGGUUGAAGUGUUUGUUUGUUGAGUGUCGUGUACCUCUCUGCUUCAUCCAGUAGUUGUAUAUUAUUCGUUCUUCAUCAUUGCAUUUUUCCAUAUUAUUCAAUGCUGCUGUCUUCAGUAUUUUGUAGUGCUUGACGUGAAGUGUUACUGAUGUAUAUCCUCCUUUCUUCGCUAAUGUCAAUAUUAGUAGCGAUUCAGACACACCUGUUUGUUAUAUAUUUCAAGCGAGGUAAAUUGAUUAACUAAUCUGAAGCAGCCUCGAAUCUGAGGCACGAGACGAGAGGAAGAUUCGUCAGUGCGAACCACAAGGCCCAACCAACCAAGAGUGAAGGCUCAGUCUCCCUCAAACAGCAAGGCGUAAAGUGUAGUGUUCCUUCACAACCGUACGGCUUUCCCUACCACCUCCCACCAGUGACGUGGAUAGAAGUGAAGGGAACCGUAACACCACCAGCACAUGAAGCUCAAGCAAAUGCAGAGGCAGUAGGAAUCCCACGCUGGCAUUGGCACUACAGCACGUACGCCACACAGCCACUCACUCACCCACGCCUGGCUGUGGCAGGCAUGGGAGUCAGUCUGCCGGGCCCUCGUGCUCAAGGAACAAUUAACGUCACACAACUUUAUAGCACUGAGGUGGGAACUGCUCUGGGAAUAUAACUUGAACAAUGGCUGGAGUAGGAUAUAUAAAAUGUAGAAAGUAAUGCAUAGAGGUGGAAUUGAGGAACCCUGCUGGUAUGUAAUUCUUGGUAAAUUUUUGUUAAGUGCAGUGAUUGUUUAAAUAAAUUAAGAAAUCAUAGAUUGAGCAAAACGAGACAAUCAAUCCAAACUCACAAAAAUCUCUUAGAAGCAAAUAUUAAAGAUUUGCUGGAAUGCAGGACUGUUUCAGGGAACCAGUUUGUAAUCACCACCAAUUCCACCACCAGUGACAACAACAACAACAACAACAUGCUGAUUUCCCUCCACUGCAUAAUUAGCUGAAUAAAGUAAA